UAUGUAGGGGGCAAGCGUUGUCCGGAAUCAUUGGGCGUAAAGAGCGUGUAGGCGGUCCGGUAAGUCCGCUGUGAAAGUCGGGGGCUCAACCCUCGAAUGCCGGUGGAUACUGUCGGGCUAGAGUGCGGAAGAGGCGAGUGGAAUUCCUGGUGUAGCGGUGAAAUGCGCAGAUAUCAGGAGGAACACCAAUUGCGAAGGCAGCUCGCUGGGGACGUAACUGACGCUGAGACGCGAAAGCGUGGGGAGCAGACAGG
rnacentral:rRNA from 1 species